CCUUAUUGAUAUGUGGGUGGCGUUGCAUGGGCAAGAUUUCAAUGAAAUGCAGGCUGUUAAUGACCUCCAUGAGCUCGUUUACAGGAACCUAGCUGAUCUCGUAAUCACCAGGACAGAUUCAAGUGAGGAGGAGGACAAAUGUUACAGCAGCCACUAUGCUACACAGCAUGAUCUGCUUAGAGAGUUGGCUAUCAUGGAGCGGAACCAUGGGUAAGUAGAGAACAGAAAGAGACUCAUUCCGGACAUAACCAGAAAUAAUUUUCCCGAUUGGUGGUGUAAGCAAAAGCAACCGACUCUUGGUGCUCGUCUAGUGUCCAUCUCCACAGAUUCUCAACACCUUGGCCAAAUCUUCAAUUACCCGACGCUGAGGCUCUUGUGUUGAACAUCGAGACCAACCAAACCAAAACUUAUGCUUUAUCGGAAUUCAUUGAAAAAGCAGAUAAGUUCAAAGCCCUAAUAGUAACAAACUUCAGUUUCUUUCCAGUUGAGCUAUGCAAUUUCCAUGUUGUUGGGUCCAGUUUAAGGAGGAUUAGGCUUGAAUGCGUCACGGUUUCUCUCCAAAGCAUGGGAAAGCUACGCUUGCAUAGUUUACAAAAGAUAUCACUUUUCAUGUGUGACAUAGGGCAGGCUUCGAUGUCGAUCAAUGCCAAAAUCUCUUAUGCAAUGCCAAAAUUAGUGGAGUUCGACAUCGACUAUUGCAAUGAUCUUGUGACAAUACCGAAUAGCAUCUGUGAGAUAAAGCCUUUGAAGAAGCUUAGCAUCACAAACUAUCAUAAUUUCUUUACACUCCCUAAACAGCUUGGGCAAUAACUUCCCUCGAAGUGGUUAGGCUUAAUUCGUGCACAAAUUUGUUGCAAUUACCAAACUCGAUUGGAACCCUCCAAAAAUUGACAUCUCUCAAUAAAUCCGAUUGCCUAAACCUGAGCACUUUGCCCAAUCAAAUUGGUCAACUAGAUAAUCUCAAGAAGAUCAACAUGAGAGGAUGUCUGAGGUUGUCUGUGUUGCCACGGUCAAUCAUGAGGUUGAGGAACCUGAAGAAGGUGAUUUGUGACCAAGAAAGAGAAGUCUUGUGGGAGCCUCUCAAGAACAGUCUCAAUAGCUUGAAUAUAAUGACAUUUGAAGAAGAGCCUAACUUAGAUUGGCUGUGUGAUUAAGAAGAGGGCUAUCAACCGAUGAUCUUUGAGCUUUUCUUAUAUGCUAAAGUGUUUGUCUUUGAACUCUUUUAUUUAUUGGGUUUUUUUUCUUGCUGUUUGUCAUAUUUAUUUCCUAUACUUUGCGCCUAUUUUUUUUUUUUUUUGGUAAAAAUGACAAGUGAUUCGUAAACUUUAAUCUAAUGUAUAAUAUAAUCCACGAAUUUUUAAUUUGUUUAAAAUUGUCCUAGACAAUAACCUAAUGUUUGAAUUUUCAAUUUAUUGUUUAAAUUUUUAAUACAUAGUCAAGUUAGUUUUUAGAUUAUAUGGAAAUAUUCAAUGUAUGACAUUAAACAUUUUCAUCGACUAACUUGAUCAUAUACUGAAAACUUAGAGAUUACAUUGAAUAAAUUAAAAUAUCAAGAAUCACGUUGCAUAUUAUGCAAAUGUUCAAAGAUUAUAUCUGACAAAUUAAAAAUUCAAAAAUUAUAUUACACGUUAGGUCGAAGUUCCAUGACUACUUAUAACAUUAUUUUUUUUUUUUUUUUAUGUGGGUGGUUGAUUGGACCAAAUAAUUGAUGAGUAGUGCCACAUCAUUUUUUUUUUUCUGAGUCAGAAUUUUUUUCCUUUUAUUUUUUCGUCUUUCCAUUUCUUUUCUUGCCUUCUACCUCCUUCCCCUUCGUCUACCACCAACAAUCCCCCUGCAAAUCACAACUCGUGGCGCCUUACCACCACGACCACUUCAGCAUCUCCUUUUCUGUCUCUCUUCCUCCGGCCAAAAGAUUCUUUCUAUCUCACGAAUCUGAAGUGCAAACUCAAAUCCGAGACGCUGCAACCUCGCAUUUGAGGUCGUGGAGAGGGAUAGAGAGAGAGAGAGAGAGAGAGAGAGAGAGAGGUGCUUGCAAUGUUAUCUGAGCGAAGCUUGUGGUGGUGUUCGAGUGCGGCUUUGUUGUGGUGGUGGCUAUCGGAGUGGCGCAGCAGCAGACAAUCAUUGCCGGUGGCGGCAUUGCUUCGGUACCGGUGGUGGUGUUGGGGGAAGACUAGUAGAUGAUAAAAAGAGGGUGCCCAUCUUUAUCAGUCAGUCAUCCACUUGACUUGAGCCAUCUGACAUGUCCUCACAACCUUUGGAUGGACCUUUUUGACCAGGAAUAGUUGAUUAAUUUGGCAAUUGUAAGGUUUUCGUAUUUUAUUCAAUUAUAUAGGGUGGUGAAAGUAAU